AGACCUUUAUCCUGGCUCAGAACGAACGCUGGCGGCGUGGAUAAGACAUGCAAGUCGAACGAGAGAAUUGCUAGCUUGCUAAUAAUUCUCUAGUGGCGCACGGGUGAGUAACACGUGAGUAACCUGCCCCCGAGAGCGGGAUAGCCCUGGGAAACUGGGAUUAAUACCGCAUAGUAUCGAAAGAUUAAAGCAGCAAUGCGCUUGGGGAUGGGCUCGCGGCCUAUUAGUUAGUUGGUGAGGUAACGGCUCACCAAGGCGAUGACGGGUAGCCGGUCUGAGAGGAUGUCCGGCCACACUGGAACUGAGACACGGUCCAGACACCUACGGGUGGCAGCAGUCGAGAAUCAUUCACAAUGGGGGAAACCCUGAUGGUGCGACGCCGCGUGGGGGAAUGAAGGUCUUCGGAUUGUAAACCCCUGUCAUGUGGGAGCAAAUUAAAAAGAUAGUACCACAAGAGGAAGAGACGGCUAACUCUGUGCCAGCAGCCGCGGUAAUACAGAGGUCUCAAGCGUUGUUCGGAAUCACUGGGCGUAAAGCGUGCGUAGGCUGUUUCGUAAGUCGUGUGUGAAAGGCGCGGGCUCAACCCGCGGACGGCACAUGAUACUGCGAGACUAGAGUAAUGGAGGGGGAACCGGAAUUCUCGGUGUAGCAGUGAAAUGCGUAGAUAUCGAGAGGAACACUCGUGGCGAAGGCGGGUUCCUGGACAUUAACUGACGCUGAGGCACGAAGGCCAGGGGAGCGAAAGGGAUUAGAUACCCCUGUAGUCCUGGCAGUAAACGGUGCACGCUUGGUGUGCGGGGAAUCGACCCCCUGCGUGCCGGAGCUAACGCGUUAAGCGUGCCGCCUGGGGAGUACGGUCGCAAGAUUAAAACUCAAAGAAAUUGACGGGGACCCGCACAAGCGGUGGAGUAUGUGGCUUAAUUCGAUGCAACGCGAAGAACCUUACCUGGGCUUGACAUGUAAUGAACAACAUGUGAAAGCAUGCGACUCUUCGGAGGCGUUACACAGGUGCUGCAUGGCCGUCGUCAGCUCGUGUCGUGAGAUGUUUGGUUAAGUCCAGCAACGAGCGCAACCCCUGUUGCCAGUUACCAGCACGUGAAGGUGGGGACUCUGGCGAGACUGCCCAGAUCAACUGGGAGGAAGGUGGGGACGACGUCAGGUCAGUAUGGCCCUUAUGCCCAGGGCUGCACACGUACUACAAUGCCCAGUACAGAGGGGGCCGAAGCCGCGAGGCGGAGGAAAUCCUAAAAACUGGGCCCAGUUCGGACUGUAGGCUGCAACCCGCCUACACGAAGCCGGAAUCGCUAGUAAUGGCGCAUCAGCUACGGCGCCGUGAAUACGUUCCCGGGUCUUGCACUCACCGCCCGUCA
rnacentral:rRNA from 1 species